ACUCCUACGGGAGGCAGCAGUGGGGAAUAUUGGACAAUGGGGGCGAACCCUGAUCCAGCCAUGCCGCGUGUGUGAAGAAGGCCUUUUGGUUGUAAAGCACUUUAAGCAGUGAAGAAGACUCCAUGGUUAAUACCCAUGGACGAUGACAUUAGCUGCAGAAUAAGCACCGGCUAACUCUGUGCCAGCAGCCGCGGUAAUACAGAGGGGUGCAAGCGUUAAUCGGAAUUACUGGGGCGUAAAGCGAGCGUAGGUGGCUUGAUAAGUCAGAUGUGAAAGCCCCGGGCUUAACCUGGGAACGGCAUCUGAUACUGUUAGGCUAGAGUAGGUGAGAGGAAGGUAGAAUUCCAGGUGUAGCGGUGAAAUGCGUAGAGAUCUGGAGGAAUACCGAUGGCGAAGGCAGCCUUCUGGCAUCAUACUGACACUGAGGUUCGAAAGCGUGGGUAGCAAACAGGAUUAGAUACCCUGGUAGCGACUGA
rnacentral:rRNA from 1 species